CGCCCCGCGCUUACACAGCUCCAGCGCCUUGGAGGUGAUGCGGAUCUUGCAGCCGGGAAUCUCGGCGUCGGCGUGAGCUCCCGCCAGCAGGGCCAAGAGGAGGGCUGCGAAGCGGGCCAUGACGAGCGGGCCUGGGGAUGGAGUGGAAUGGAGGGAGGGGAGAGAGACUGAGGGAGAGAUAGACAGACAGACAGACAGACAGACAGACGGACAGACAUGCAUUGGUUGCCUCCUGCCUGCACCCCAACCUGGGCCUGGAUGAAACUGCAACACAGAUUGGGAAACUGAGAUAAAGCAGGAGGAAGUAGCUGGUUUAAGCAAGUAAACACAGUUCCACUGACCACAGGACAGCAAGUUGGAUUUCUGCCCAAGAUGUCAACAUGCAUCGCCCGGCUCCCCACUCCCUCGCCCUGUCUCCAGCUGUGUUUUCUUUGGAUUUCUGCAUGGCUUGGAGAAGCUGCGUCAGCCCAUCUCCCAUCCUGACCUUUCUCCCACCCCCAGCACCCACCCUGGCCAGCCCUCAGGAAGUGACCUCCACCCUCUCCCUCUGCCUGCGCCCAUGAGCACUGCAAUGCAUGUGCCUGUAUUGGUCAGCAUGGGUGAGCCUGGGCACCUGUGAUAGGGGACCCAGUUAGAACUAGGGGCGGAGUGUGUGUGUGCGGGGGAGGGGGCAGAUUCAGACCAGGAGAUUAUAUCUCCCAAACAGGUGGAAUGAACACUUGUUUCAAGAAAGCAGCUGGACAGAACCGUCCCCUUGGGGGGGAAGACAUUGACCAAAUGGAGAGACGGGAAAUAAAGGCUAUGGCUUUCUGAGUUCAGUUCGGAGCUGUUGACAGCUUUCUGUGGCGUCAAAACCUUGGACACCUGGUCUUUUGCCUUCUCCCAUUUCCCAUUUGCCUUUUCCCAUUUCCUCCUUGCAGAUUAGUUCCUCUUUUCUGUCGAAGGAGACAGCCACCUGGUCCCCGAAGGCCCUUCCAAGGCCUUCCUAACGACUACAAGAAGCACCCAACACAUUCCAUCGUCUUGAAAAUUUUUUCAUGAGGCUCUAAUACUACACAAAUGCUGACAUAAACAGACUUUGAUCUGACAAGGACUGCCAGCCCUCCAUCCAGGAAUCAUGAGGACAUCUUAGCCCUCCAGUUUCCCUCCUCUCUUCACCCAGCUAGAUCCAUAAUUCAUCACCCACUUCCCACCCCAGCCUCAGUGCUAAAUUCUGCUCCUCUCUGUUUUCUCCAUCUCCGAUCAUGGCACACCCUCCACCCAGAUGCUCGAUUGAGUCAAAAACAAUAGGAGUCAUGUUUAACUCCUUUUUUCUUUCUACCACGUCAGUAAAUAAUUGUGUCUCCACCUCCCAAAGAUGUCCCACAUCUAUACUUUCUCUUCCAUUUGCACCAACACUAGCGCAGUGGUCGGCAAACUCAUUAGUCAACAGAGCCAAAUAUCAACAGUACAACGAUUGAAAUUUCUUUUGAGAGCCAAAUUAUUUAAAAUUAAACUAUAUAGGUAGGUACAUUGUUAUUAACUUUUUAAAAAAUAUAUUUUAUUGAUUUUUUACAGAGAGGAAGGGAGAGAGAUAGAGAGUCAGAAACAUGGAUGAGAGAGAAACAUCGACCAGCUGCCUCCUGCACAUCCCCCACCGGGGAUGUGCCCGCAACCCAGGUACAUGCCCUUGACCGGAAUUGAACCCGGGACCUUUCAGUCCGCAGGCCGACGCUCUAUCCACUGAGCCAAACCGGUUUCGGCUGUUAUUAACUUAAUUAGGGUACUCCUAAGGCUUAGGAAGAGCCACACUCAAGGGGCCAAAGUGCCGCGUGUGGCUCGCGAGCCGAAGUUUCCCAACCACGGCGACUAGUGCAAGCCAUUUUCAUCUUUUACCUGGACAACUUGCCCCACCUCCCUGCCCCACUAUUGCCCCUAUAGUUCUAGUCUUCCUGCACUAACCAAAGCCAUCUUUAAAAAUAGAAACUAUAUAGCAUUUUACCACCCCUCUCAAAACCCUCCAUUACCCCCUCCCCCCAUUGCGCACAAAAUAAAAGCUGGACUCUGGCCAUGACCGCUGAAAGGGUCUCUAGUUUCUUCCUUUUUACUACUCCACCCUCUACCUCUGUUUGGAAACCACCAAACUCAGCCUCAAGCUUUCCAUGAAUGCUUCCCUCUACCAGAUACAUCUUCGCACGGGGAUCUUUGCAUGGUUAGCUUUCUUCAUUCACUCAGAUCGCUACUUAAAUGUAGCCCCCACCGAGAGCCUUCCAGCAUCAUUACCCGGCAUUCUGUUCAACUCUGUUUUGUCUGCUUCUUCCAGGAGACUGUGAGCUCCCUGGGGUGGGAGCCUGACACUUCUCCAUGGCUGUAUCCCUAGCUCCAGCACAGGGUCUGGUCCAUGGAACAUGGUGGUUAUUAUCUGCAGACCCUUUGAAAGGAAGAGAUUGUAUCACAGACCAUGUGGCCCUGGCCUGAUGAUCCCCUGAGCCUCUAAGCUCCCUGUAGUUGCUGCUGGCACCACCAUCUCCUCGCAUUUCUCUGGGGUUAUCUGCAUCUGGUCUGCAGCCAGGAAUGUCAUACUUUCUUAAUCUCUUUCGGAGCCUGAACAAUCCUAAGGUCGUGGGAGACACCCCUCCCCCUCAGCAUCUCCGCUGGCUCCUCGCCAAAAUCCCAGGCCCCUUCCUCUUGGGGCCCAUCUGCGCUGGGCCUGUGCCUGUGGGUGUUGGGCAGCAGCUUGUUUCCCACCCCAAGCCCAUAUGCUUCCUGGGGUGGGGUAGGCUGCUGGCCAGCAUGUGCUCCCCUAAGUGCCGGGAGGACAGAAAUCAGACCUAAAGUUAGGCCACUGGUUCUCAACCCUUUGCACACGAGCAGCUUUUAGGUAGGGCGGCUUUGGCUUUGUUCUGUUCUGUUUUGAAUACCUAUGCCUGGGCCCCGAACCCCAAGAUUCUGGUUUAGUUGGUUUGAUGGAGCCCGGGUAUCAGCGAGUGUUUUCAGCGGGCCCUCGCUGGUGCACCAGGAGGUUGUUAGUCGGGUCCUGAUCAAGGGCGCAUGCCCGGGCUGCUGGCUCG